UCGAUGCACAUUUAUCGGACAAAGAUUACCAUGUGGUCCACACGUAUGUUUUGUUGAAUUGUGAAGAAGUUCUACCGUUCGAAAGGAUUUUUGAUGAUCAGGUAUUCAAUACGUACGGUGAUGUGAAUGAUGAUCAAUUAAGCCAGAUUAAAGAGAACGGAUUCGCAACCUGGUUAAAAGAAUUUAUUGAAUCAUCGCAAGAAGAUCAUCCAUUGUGGUUACACGAGUUAGUUCAAGGUCCCAUUCGGCUGGUCAAAUGUUGGCCAAUGUUCUCUACGAGAGGAUAUUUAUUUCAUACAUAUGAACAUGGGCAACAUCGUUCGACGGCAAAUUAUGGUAUAUGUGUGAAAGGCUCGAGUUACUGUGCUUCGGAUGAUGAACCAGAUUUCCAUGGCAUUCUUCAGCAAAUUUUCCAAGUACAAUAUCCGGGUCAUAUUGGACUCAAAGUGAUGAUUUUCAGAUGUGACUGGUUUGAUCCGACGCCGGGACGCGGAAUACGGAUCAACAAAUCAGGGAUCACUGAUAUUUGUUACUCCCGUCGAUAUAGAAAAUACGACCCUUUUAUACUGGCAUCCCAAGCAGAUCAGGUAUGUUUUAUCCCUUAUCCAAGAGAUAAAACGCGAAGAAGUGACAUUGAUUGGAAGGCCGUUAUCAAGAUUAAUCCAAGAGGGACCAUUACAUAUGACGGAUCAGUGGAACAAAGCCCGCUACAGGAAGAACAC